UAGAAUAUAGUAUCUGGAGAUAUAAUACACUUACACUGUAAUUGACAGUGGUUCGACUCCACUUAUUCUAA
rnacentral:tRNA from 1 species